rnacentral:rRNA from 1 species
AGGAUGAACGCUGGCGGCGUGCCUAACACAUGCAAGUCGAACGUCCUGUCUCGCAAGAGGCAGGGAGUGGCGGACGGGUGAGUACCACGUGGGUCAUCUACCGUGAGGUGAGGAAUACCGGCGAGAAAUCGCCGACAAGACCGCAUAGCCUCGGUGCAAGCCGAGGAAAGCUCUUUCGAGAGAGGGAGCGCCACACGAGGAGCCUGCGCCCGAUUAGCUAGCUGGUGGAGUAACGGUUCACCAGGGCGACGAUCGGUAGCUGGUCUGAGAGGACGAUCAGCCACACUGGGAUUGAGAACGGCCCAGACUCCUACGGGAGGCAGCAGUGAGGAAUUUUCCGCAAUGGGCGAAAGCCUGACGGAGCGACGCCGCGUGUGGGAAGAAGGCCUUCGGGUCGUAAACCACUGUCGAAGGGGACUAUACUGAAGGUACCCUUGGAGGAAGCCCGGCUAACUACGUGCCAGCAGCCGC